rnacentral:rRNA from 1 species
GUCUGCAACUCGACUACAUGAAGCUGGAAUCGCUAGUAAUCGUAGAUCAGCAUGCUACGGUGAAUACGUUCCCGGGUCUUGUACACACCGCCCGUCACACCACGAGAGUUUGUAACACCCGAAGCCGGUGGAGUAACCUUUUAGGAGCUAGCCGUCGAAGGUGGGACAAAUGAUUGGGGUGAAGUCGUAACAAGGUAGCCGUAUCGGAAGGUGCGGCUGGAUCACCUCCUUU